UUUAUGGAGAGUUUGAUCCUGGCUCAGGAUGAACGCUGGCGGCGUGCCUAAUACAUGCAAGUCGAGCGAACGGACGAGAAGCUUGCUUCUCUGAUGUUAGCGGCGGACGGGUGAGUAACACGUGGAUAACCUACCUAUAAGACUGGGAUAACUUCGGGAAACCGGAGCUAAUACCGGAUAAUAUUUUGAACCGCAUGGUUCAAAAGUGAAAGACGGUCUUGCUGUCACUUAUAGAUGGAUCCGCGCUGCAUUAGCUAGUUGGUAAGGUAACGGCUUACCAAGGCAACGAUGCAUAGCCGACCUGAGAGGGUGAUCGGCCACACUGGAACUGAGACACGGUCCAGACUCCUACGGGAGGCAGCAGUAGGGAAUCUUCCGCAAUGGGCGAAAGCCUGACGGAGCAACGCCGCGUGAGUGAUGAAGGUCUUCGGAUCGUAAAACUCUGUUAUUAGGGAAGAACAUAUGUGUAAGUAACUGUGCACAUCUUGACGGUACCUAAUCAGAAAGCCACGGCUAACUACGUGCCAGCAGCCGCGGUAAUACGUAGGUGGCAAGCGUUAUCCGGAAUUAUUGGGCGUAAAGCGCGCGUAGGCGGUUUUUUAAGUCUGAUGUGAAAGCCCACGGCUCAACCGUGGAGGGUCAUUGGAAACUGGAAAACUUGAGUGCAGAAGAGGAAAGUGGAAUUCCAUGUGUAGCGGUGAAAUGCGCAGAGAUAUGGAGGAACACCAGUGGCGAAGGCGACUUUCUGGUCUGUAACUGACGCUGAUGUGCGAAAGCGUGGGGAUCAAACAGGAUUAGAUACCCUGGUAGUCCACGCCGUAAACGAUGAGUGCUAAGUGUUAGGGGGUUUCCGCCCCUUAGUGCUGCAGCUAACGCAUUAAGCACUCCGCCUGGGGAGUACGACCGCAAGGUUGAAACUCAAAGGAAUUGACGGGGACCCGCACAAGCGGUGGAGCAUGUGGUUUAAUUCGAAGCAACGCGAAGAACCUUACCAAAUCUUGACAUCCUUUGACAACUCUAGAGAUAGAGCCUUCCCCUUCGGGGGACAAAGUGACAGGUGGUGCAUGGUUGUCGUCAGCUCGUGUCGUGAGAUGUUGGGUUAAGUCCCGCAACGAGCGCAACCCUUAAGCUUAGUUGCCAUCAUUAAGUUGGGCACUCUAAGUUGACUGCCGGUGACAAACCGGAGGAAGGUGGGGAUGACGUCAAAUCAUCAUGCCCCUUAUGAUUUGGGCUACACACGU
rnacentral:rRNA from 1 species